CGUGCCUAAUACAUGCAAGUCGAACGCAUUUGUGGUUGAAAUGAUAUGAAGAACUUGUUCAGAUUUGAUUUUCAACAUUGCAAUGAGUGGCGAACGGGUGAGUAACACGUGGGAAACCUACCUCUUAGCAGGGGAUAACAUUUGGAAACAAAUGCUAAUACCGUAUAAUAAUUAAAACCGCAUGGUUUUAGUUUAAAAGAUGGUCUUGCUAUCACUAAGAGAUGGUCCCGCGGUGUAUUAGUUAGUUGGUGAGGUAAUGGCUCACCAAGACAAUGAUACAUAGCCGAGUUGAGAGACUGACCGGCCACAAUGGGACUGAGACACGGCCCAUACUCCUACGGGAGGCAGCAGUAGGGAAUCUUCCACAAUGGACGAAAGUCUGAUGGAGCAACGCCGCGUGUGUGAUGAAGGGUUUCGGCCCGUAAAACACUGUUGUAAGAGAAGAAUGACAUUGAGAGUAACUGUUCAAUGUGUGACGGUAUCUUACCAGAAAGGAACGGCUAAAUACGUG
rnacentral:rRNA from 1 species